AUUGAACGCUGGCGGCAUGCUUUACACAUGCAAGUCGAACGGUAACAGGCCUUCGGGUGCUGACGAGUGGCGAACGGGUGAGUAAUGCAUCGGAACGUACCCAGAGGUGGGGGAUAACGCAGCGAAAGCUGUGCUAAUACCGCAUGUGAUCUGAGGAUGAAAGCGGGGGACCGAGCAGCAAUGUUUGGCCUCGCGCCUUUGGAGCGGCCGAUGUCGGAUUAGCUAGUUGGUGGGGUAAAGGCCUACCAUGGCGACGAUCCGUAGCUGGUCUGAGAGGACGACCAGCCACACUGGGACUGAGACACGGCCCAGACUCCUACGGGAGGCAGCAGUGGGGAAUUUUGGACAAUGGGCGCAAGCCUGAUCCAGCAAUGCCGCGUGCGGGAAGAAGGCCUUCGGGUUGUAAACCGCUUUUGGCAGGAACGAAACGGUGUCCGCUAAUACCGGGCGCUAAUGACGGUACCUGCAGAAUAAGCACCGGCUAACUACGUG
rnacentral:rRNA from 1 species